GACAGAGGAUGCAAGCGUUAUCCGGAAUGAUUGGGCGCAAAGCGUCUGUAGGUGGCUUUUUAAGUCCGCCGUCAAAUCCCAGGGCUCAACCCUGGACAGGCGGUGGAAACUACCAAGCUGGAGUACGGUAGGGGCAGAGGGAAUUUCCGGUGGAGCGGUGAAAUGCGCAGAUAUCAGGAGGAACACCGGUGGCGAAGGCGGAUCUCUGGGCCAUUACUGACGCUGGAGGAGCGAAAGCGUGGGGAGC
rnacentral:rRNA from 1 species